GACGAACGCUGGCGGCGUGCUUAAUACAUGCAAGUCGAACGAAGUGGCGAACGGGUGAGUAACGCGUAAUCAACCUGCCCUUCCGAUGGGGACAACAGUUGCAAACGACUGCUAAUACCGCAUACUGUAGGAGGGGAUUGCUUCUGAUUAGCUAGUUGGAGGGGGAACGGCCCACCAAGGCUAUGAUCAGUAACCGGUCUGAGAGGAUGAACGGCCACAUUGGGACUGAGACACGGCCCAGACUCCUACGGGAGGCAGAAGUGGGGAAUAUUGGACAAUGGGCGAAAGCCUGAUCCAGCCAUGCCGCGUGUGUGAAGAAGGUCUUCGGAUUGUAAAGCACUUUAAGUUGGGAGGCGUUACCAACAGAAUAAGCACCGGCUAACUUCGUGCCAGCCGCCGCGGUAAUUC
rnacentral:rRNA from 1 species